AAUGCAUGGGUAACGUACCUCGAACUACGGGGAUAACAGCGGGACGCAAGCCCUUUAGCGAAAGUGCUGCUAAUACCCGAUGAUGCGUUGCGUCGCAAUGACUCGACGACCAAAGGCGGGACCGCAAGGCCUGCCGGUUUGGGAGCGGCCCAUGUCCUAUCAGCUAGUUGGUGAGGUAACGGCUUACCAAGGCAUCGACGGGUAGCCGGACUGAGAGGUUGACCGGCCACAUCGGGACUGAGACACUGCCCGGACACCUACGGGUGGCUGCAGUAACGAAUAUUGGGCAAUGGGCGCAAGCCUGACCCAGCGACGCCGCGUGCAGGAGGAAGUCCUUUACCGGGAUGUAAACUGCUGUCAGGGGCUAGCAAGCAAAGGGCGUUAACAGACGCCCGGCGUUGAGCCGCCCCAGAGGAAGCCUCGACUAACUCUGUGCCAGCAGCAGC
rnacentral:rRNA from 1 species